UGACUAAGCCAUGCAAGUCGAGAGGGUUCGGCCCUCGGCGUACUGCUCAGUAACACGUGGAUAACCUGCCCUAAGGAAGGGGAUAACCUCGGGAAACUGAGGAUAAUACCCUAUAGGAUACCGAUGCUGGAAUGCCCGGUAUCCCAAAGCUCCGGCGCCUUAGGAUGGAUCUGCGGCCGAUUAGGUCGUUGUUGGGGUAACGGCCCAACAAGCCGAUAAUCGGUACGGGUUGUGGGAGCAAGAGCCCGGAGUUGGAUUCUGAGACACGAAUCCAGGCCCUACGGGGCGCAGCAGGCGCGAAAACUUUACAAUGCGGGCAACCGUGAUAAGGGAACCUCGAGUGCCUGUACAUGCAGGCUGUCUGGGUGUCUAAAACACACCCAAAGAAAGGGCCGGGCAAGACCGGUGCCAGCCGCCGCGGUAAUACCGGCGGCUCGAGUGGUGGCCACUUUUAUUGGGCUUAAAGCGUUCGUAGCUGGGUUGUUAAGUCUCUUGGGAAAUCUGGCAGCUUAACUGUCAGGCGUCUAAGAGAUACUGGCAAUCUAGGAACCGGGAGAGGUGAGGGGUACUUCGGGGGUAGGAGUGAAAUCCUGUAAUCCUCGAGGGACCACCUGUGGCGAAGGCGCCUCACCAGAACGGCUUCGACAGUGAGGGACGAAAGCUGGGGGAGCAAACCGGAUUAGAUACCCGGGUAGUCCCAGCCGUAAACGAUGCGCGUUAGGUGUGUCGAUGACCACGAGUCAUCGAGGUGCCGAAGGGAAACCGUGAAACGCGCCGCCUGGGAAGUACGGUCGCAAGGCUGAAACUUAAAGGAAUUGGCGGGGGAGCA
rnacentral:rRNA from 1 species